GAAAGUAAACAAGGGCGCAUGGAGGAUGCCUAGGCUCUCGGAGGCGAAGAAGGACGUGAUAAGCUGCGAAAAGUUACGGUAAGGCGCAAAUAGCCCUAGACCCGUAAAUAUCCGAAUGGGGCAACCCAGCCAGCAAUGGUCAUACCGCCAGGCGGUAAGCCAACGCGGGGAACUGAAACAUCUUAGUACCUGCAGGAAAAGAAAAUAACAAUGAUUCCCCCAGUAGUGGCGAGCGAACGCGGAACAGCCCAAACCACCCGUGUUACGGCACGAGUGGGGUAGAAGGAUCCACGAUACGGCAAGAAAUAAGUUAGCAGAAUACGAUGGAAAUCGUAGCCAAAGACGGUGACAGCCCGGUACGCGAAAACCGACAGAAGCCCAGUGGACACCUGAGUAACCCAGGACACGAGAAAUCCGGGGCGAAUCAGCGGGGCCCAUCCCGUAAGGCUAAAUACUCCCGAGAGACCGAUAGCGAACCAGUACUGUGAAGGAAAGGUGAAAAGAACCUCGAACAGAGGAGUGAAAGAGACCCUGAAACCAUGCGCCUACAAGCGGUCGGAGCAUGUUAAAAUGUGACGGCGUGCCUUUUGCAUAAUGAACCUACGAGUUACUCUCGCUGGCAAGGUUAAGCGAUUCAGUCGCGCAGCCGAAGCGAAAGCAAGUCCGAACAAGGCGUACAGUCAGCGGGAGUAGACGCGAAACCAAGUGAUCUACCCUUGGUCAGGUUGAAGGUUGGGUAACACCAACUGGAGGACCGCACCGAUAAGCGUUGAAAAGCUUACGGAUGAACUGAGGGUAGGAGUGAAAGGCCAAUCAAACUUGGAGAUAGCUCGUACUCCCCGAAAUGCAUUUAGGUGCAGCCUCGAAGUAAAGUGAUAGAGGUAGAGCGACUGAUAAGAUGCGAGGGCUUCACCGCCUAUCAAGUCUUGACAAACUCCGAAUACUAUCACUUGAUCUUCGGGAGUGAGGGCAUGGGUGCUAAGGUCCAUGUCCGAAAGAGGAACAACUCAGACCACCAGCUAAGGUCCCGAAAUAAGGGCUAAGUUGAAUAAACGAAGUAAAACUGCAAAGACAGCUAGGAUGUUGGCUUGGAAGCAGCCAUUCAUUUAAAGAGUGCGUAACAGCUCACUAGUCGAGGAGUUUUGCAUGGAUAAUAAUCGGGCAUAAGCCCUUUACCGAAGCUGUGGAUGUCGUAAGACAUGGUAGGGGAGCAUUCCGGCGGCGACGAAGGCCGUCCUCGAGGACGACUGGAGCUUUCGGAAAAGCAAAUGUAGGUAUAAGUAACGAUAAAGGGGGCGUGAAACCCCCUCGCCAUAAGACUAAGGAUUCCUGAUCAACGCUAAUCGGAUCAGGGUAAGUCGGGCCCUAAGGCGCAGCCGAACGGCGUAGCCGAUGGAAGAAACGGUAAAGAUUCCGUUACUGGAUAUAGGAGCGAUGUGGAGACGGAGAAGUGACACACCCGCCUGCCGACGGAAGCGCAGGUUAAAGGAAGUAGGUAAACGCCGGGUAGGCAAAUCCGCCUGGCGUGCCGAAGCUGACAGUAUCGAGAGCCCCCGGGCAAUCGAAUAGCGGUGGUAAUCAGGCUCCCAAGAAAAUCCGCUAAGCAUAUUCUAUAUUCACCCGUACCCCAAACGGACACACGUAGUCGGGUAGAAUAUACCAAGGCGCUCGAAAGACUCACGGUUAAGGAACUAGGCAAAUUGACCCUGUAACCUCGGGAAAAAGGGUCCCCAGUAAGAUGGGGCGCAGAGAAUAGGUCCAGGCAACUGUUUAACAAAAACACAGGGCUGUGCGAAAUUUCAAGAUGAAGUAUACAGCCUGACACCUGCCCGGUGCCGGAAGGUUAAGAGGAGAGCUAAUCGCAAGAGAAGGCUUGAAUUGAAGCCCCGGUAAACGGCGGCCGUAACUAUAACGGUCCUAAGGUAGCUAAAUUCCUUGUCGGGUAAGUUCCGACCUGC
rnacentral:rRNA from 1 species